UACGGAGGGGGCUAGCGUUGUUCGGAAUUACUGGGCGUAAAGCGCACGUAGGCGGACCAGAAAGUUGGGGGUGAAAUCCCGGGGCUCAACCUCGGAACUGCUUUCAAAACUAUUGGUCUGGAGUUCGAGAGAGGUGAGUGGAAUUCCGAGUGUAGAGGUGAAAUUCGUAGAUAUUCGCAGGAACACCAGUGGCGAAGGCGACUUGCUGGGCUUGUAGUGACGCUGAGACGCGAAAGCGUGGGGAGCAAACAGG
rnacentral:rRNA from 1 species